UAUCCACGUAUUAACUGGUAUCU
rnacentral:snRNA from 1 species